rnacentral:rRNA from 1 species
UAGGGAAUAAUUGGACAAUGGGUGCGAGCCUGAUCCAGCCAUGCCGCGUGCAGGAAGACGGCCUUCUGGGUUGUAAACUGCUUUUGUNCCAGGGAUAAAAAGUCCCUGCGGGAAAAUUGAAGGUACCUGGUGAAUAAGCCACGGCUAACUACGUGCCAGCAGCCGCGGUAAUACGUAGGUGGCAAGCGUUGUCCGGAUUUAUUGGGUUUAAAGGGUGCGUAGGUUGUGUUGUAAGUCAGUGGUGAAAUCCGGCAGCUUAACUGUCGAUGUGCCAUUGAUACUGCAGCACUUGAGUACAGACGAGGUAGGCGGAAUUGACGGUGUAGCGGUGAAAUGCUUAGAUAUCGUCAAGAACACCGAUAGCGAAAGGCAGCUUAACUAGACUGUAAACUGACACUGAUG